rnacentral:lncRNA from 1 species
UGCAUAUUGCACUUGACGAGAUCGAGAGGUGUGACGGCCAUGUGAGUGAGACCGCAGCUGAGAAUCCCACCGACGGUGCACGCGGCGUAGAAGUCGCGAGAGUACAUCUCGAUACCUUUCCCCGGCUCGGUGGGGGAGGCGAUGAGGAAGUUCUUGCGAGACGCCAUCGUCUUCGGAGAUGGAGAAGGAGAGUUCUUCUCGAGGUUGGGGGAUUGAAACGCGGCGUUUGAGUUGGAGUUAAUGACCUGGUCGAGGAGUACGGAUCUAGGAGAUGAGGAAGAGGAGUAGAGGAAGCUUGGGAUCAAAGAGUUCUUCGACGAUUCCAUCGCGGCGGAGGAGGGAGGAGAGAACGGAGAUAAGAUUCGCGGCUUGUGAAAUGAGUGUGGGUGCGGCGAUGGUCUGUAUCUCACGUUCACUUAGGGUUAUUACCACCAACUCUCAGUCUCUGUUCUUUAUUGGACAUCUAGAAUCCGUUGGAACAAGGCGUAUACUCUGCGAUAAUUACGUUCACCUCCCAAGCUCUCGGCGGUCACCAGAACGCCCACAAACGUGAACGCGCCGCUGCUCGCCGCAACCUCGGCGUUGUCGCUCAUGCUCCAUCCGUCAUCGAUGACCACGACGACGCCACUUUCUUCCGUUCCUCCUACCCGUGUAACUACUACUACCCUAACCCACCUCAAGGAUCCACUUCGGUUACCGGAUCGGCAUGGAACGUACCGGAUCAACAAACGAUGAUGGUGAUGGGUGGGUACGUCGACCCGUAUCCGUAUCCGUUUGCGUACCCAUUCGGAUUUGCCGGCGAUAUUGGUGGCGUGGAGGAAGAGGAGCCAGAGCUGGAUCUCUCUCUCCGUCUAUGAAGUUAGUUGUUACUUUUUUUCUGUUUUGUCUUGUUCAGGUGACUCUUUUAAGUACAACUUUGGAGCUACGUAGCCGUUUCUAUCUUUCUCUUUUUGUGUUCAUCUCCUACUUUUAAUAUAAACUACCUUUUUGAUAAUGAUCGUUACUAUUUAGUUUAUAAUCGAGCAUGGAUCAGUCUAUAUUUACAUGUUCAACUAAAUACUUCAAAGCGUUGAUGGAUAAUGCAUUUGAAAACAAACAUGAACUUGAUUUGUUUCCGAAAUAUAAAACAUCAAGUUGAAGAUGGACAAACACAUCACUAAUGAUUCGCUUGUUUUACGACCUUGAUUCGGAGACGACGACAGAUUCCGAUUAUGUCUCUAUCGGAAGUUCUACCACCGUCUUCCGAUAUGCUCUCUGCCCGUCUCCAUAAAGUUGGUACGUGUGCGGAAUCCAACAUCUCAUCAUCACCCACGUGACUGACUCACGUGACGCUCAUCUCAUCCAAAUCUAUUUUUUCCCCAAAUGAAACAAGUAAACUGCUUGCCGUUUAUAAGCGCCUCACACGACAACCACUUUUACCUCACCACAGCUACAAGGUUUUAUCUAUGUUAAAUAAAAAUGUAUAAUUCCAACGGCAAUGUGGUGGUGUUAGAGAUGAAACAUGGCAAAUUUGUUACAUACCAUUGGUACUGUAAAAAUGCAAUUUAUUGACCAAAAUAAUGCAAUUUAUUAACUUGAACGGGCCUUCUUUAAUUGGGCCCAUUAUCAGGCGAAAAACAUUGAGCCCAUCAUUGACUUUUUCCCUUCCGAGUGGUGGUAAUAACAUCGUCGUCCUCGUCGGAGGUUUCACGAGCUGAGGAAAAAUCAAUCGCAGAUCUGUUUCACCAUCUGCAUUUCCAAAUUCCAAACAACUAUGGCGAUCCCCUCAGCUAACCUUCUGAUCUCCGCCCUGACGAUCUUCAUCCUCGUCUCCGCUUCCUUCGCGACCUCGGAAACGCCGUUCCUGGUGGUCCACAAGAAAGCGACUCUCAACAGGCUCAAAUCCGGCGCCGAGCGAGUCCUCGUCUCCUUCGACAUCUACAACCAAGGAUCUGCGUAACCUCCUCUUCCCUCUCCUCUAGUUUCGCUUCGCAAUCCAUCUGAUUCACACGAUUUCGUUUCCGAUCCAAUCUAGUAUCUGAUCGUCUAUUUGCAUGAAGAGAUUAGCUAAUUUAUUAGACUCGUUAGAUCUAUAGAUAUGGAUCAGUGAUUUGGUGUUUUGAUCACAGGACGGCGUAUGAUGUGACUCUGACUGAUAAAACGUGGAUUAAGAAAACUUUUGAACUUGUUAACGGAAACAAGUCAAGAACAUGGGAGAGACUUGAUGCGUGAGUUUCUCACUCUUAUGGUAGCUAGCUCCUAGCUGCUUCCUUUUUUUCACUGAUGUGAUCUUUGUAUGUAGAGGAGGUAUCGUGUCUCAUUCUUUCGAACUUGAGGCAAAGGUUAAAGGACCUUUCUAUGGUGCUCCUGCUCUUGUUACUUUCCGCGUCCCCACAAAGGCGGUUCUACAGGUUUUGCCAUUUAUUUAUAAGCUCUCUCUUUGUGCUUCUUUUUAGAUGGAGAGAUUGAUUAUUACAGUAACCCAUUUUAUAAAUUUGUUUGUUUGUUUGUAGCAAGCUUACUCAACUCCAAUACUACCUCUAAACAUCCUCGCAGACAUACCUCCAAUGGACCCGUUGGCCCUGGUAAAUUUUGAUUUCUUAAAGUAUUGUUCUUUCAGUCAUAUCUUCUUCCUUUUCGUUAUUGACUUUUAUUGUUGUCUUGUGUUGUGCAUUGGAUGAUGCUGUAAUAAUAAUCUCAGGCCAAGGUAACUCGAUGUGCAAUGCAAUUCUCCCCUUCCUAUCAUCGAAGAUAACAAGUUCUUAACUUAUUGUGUUUUAAUUGUUGCAGAGGGUGCUGGCGAAAUAUGGAUCGCUUGUUUCAGUGAUCUCCAUGGUGGUUUUGUUCGUGUACUUGAUAGCAACACCUUCAAAGCCCAAUGCAGCAAAAGCUGGCAGCAAGAAGAAACGCUAAGUUCGUGUAAUGAAGUUCGGAGAGGUUGUUACUUUUGUUUUGUUGUGUCUAGCAGUUUAAAACGAAUUUUCAAAACAUGUAAGAAUCUUAGAACACACUUUAAUUUUCGUGUUGCAGAGUACUUUUCUUAUUAAGUUAUUUUGUUUUGCGUAAAAAGACUUCUCUUUGAGAGUAUAGUCAUGAAGGCCUCCUUUACUUUGAUUCUGCCUUCUUCUUUCGAUUGUCAUGUUUGUUGUUUACUUUAAUUGCCUUUUUGCUAUGUGUCCUGUUUAAUACCAUAGCCGUUUUGUAGUGUCUAAUCUGGUUAUUGGUUUGAUGAGUUUGCCUAUGAGUUUAUUUGUUAUGGGUUCUUAACUGAUGUUUGGAAAAGUAAUAGGUCCUAUGUGUAAAAUAUAAAGACCGAGCCUACAAGCUCCAUCUUGUCAAUGAUGAUACAUAAUUAGUAACUAGUAUUUACUAAUCACUCAAGUACAUUGAUUUGGUCAACCUAAUAGUUUUCCAAAUUAAUCUCACUAUAUAAGUGUAGACCCAUAAAACCGUUUUAAACGUUUUCACUGUUUGUCACCUUAUCUAACAUAACUCAUCAUGGUUACCAAAAACAUUCAAUUAUGGUAAUAUUCAGAAUCGGUAGACAGUUUGAUGCUUAAGUAUAUGAAGCAAAGCAAAAUAGUAACUCUUGCUGUAAUAGUAAAGUCGUAAUUUGGGGGAUCCAACCAAAAAUAGCAACAAAAGGAGAUUUUCAAAUUAAACAGAGCAAAAGUAGUAAAAAUGGAUGUUCCCACUAUCUCUAUCUUUGAGUCUGGGAACAAUCCUGAAUUAAGCAACACAAAUUUCAAAAAAAAUAAUAAUAUAUUGAAUCCGGAGGAUGAGCUCACUCUUCCUCAUCAUACGUUUUUUUUUAUUUGUUUCUUUCCAAACAAAAAUCCUAACCAUUUUCAUCAUCAUUUAAGUCUUUAGGCUUUGACGGCAGGGGCUGGAGUAACACCACCGGUGGUUGGCCUGAAUAAAAUUAAAAUAAUAUUAGAGUUUGCAGUUUUGGAAGUGGUAUUGAAAGAAAGAAAAUCAGAAAGAGGAUCUUACAGGCCAACAAAGACUUUGAAGGCAUCGUACAAACCCCACUGAGCUCCGGUCAAUGUCCCUAUCAUCACAAUUCUCAAAGGAAGCCCUCUGGUGAAUAGUCCCACCAUUCCAAUCUUCUUCACCGCCUGCAUCAACAUUUCAUUUCAUCAAAAAAAAGUCAUUACUUAUCCAACAUCAACACAAAUUUCAAUAAUUUAUAGCUUUCUUGUAUUACAGACACAGUAACUCACAUCUCCAACGGUUGCUCCCUUAGCGUUGUUGAGGAACGACACGAGAUUGUCAGCAGGGUGGGACACAAUAGCACAAAAAACUCCAGCAACAUACCCUCCAGCAAAACUAACCCCGAGCUGCAGACCUUUGCUGCACUCGUGCUUCGGGUUGGGGAUAGCAUACUUGUAAAUCAUCUCCACAAUGGUCUCAAACGAAGCAAACUUCAUCAUAGUGUCUGUCACAUUUCCAUAUAUCAUCAGCACAACGUAUUACGCCUCAAAGAAAAUAUAUAUAGGCCAAAACUUACAAGGAAUCUGACGACCCCAGAGAGGAGCAAGACCCUUAUACAACCUGCAUAAACAAAUAAAUAUAAGUAUCAGUACCAGACACUAAGCUGCAACAAGAGAGAGAACGAAAACGUAACUCACCCUCCGUAUCCUUCAGACUUGACAAACUUGGGAAACCCAUCAGACAUCCCCCUAGCGAACCCAGGCUGCGUCUGAACCCUAACCUUAACAGCUUCAAACGGACAAAGCGCCACAUCGGCAAUCACCUCAGCGGAAGCAGAACCAGCAAGGUAGAUAAGCGUCUUGUACUUGGCAGCAAACUCAGGUCCAGCGAGAUCAGAGUAGUACUUCUUGAAAAACUCGUAGAACCCAAACUUGCAAGCGCCCUGAGCACUGUAACCCAACAGAGUAGGCACCCAUCCACGGAAAAAGCCUCUCACUCCUUGCUCCUUCAACAGAAUCCCAAAGCCAGACGAGAUGCUCUUGUACUUGGCCGGAUCAAUCUAUAAUAGAGGUUGAAGAACACCGAAGAGAAAUGUAAAGAAUGAUACUAAACCGGACUAAACCAAGCUUAAAUUAUAUGUGCAGUAUAACCAAUUUAAACCGGCUAAUAAUCUUAGAUCACGGAUCUAAAACCAACAACCUAGAUCUAAACACGUGGACGCGGAUCUAUGAAACGUACCUGCAUAUUGCACUUGACGAGAUCGAGAGGUGUGACGGCCAUGUGAGUGAGACCGCAGCUGAGAAUCCCACCGACGGUGCACGCGGCGUAGAAGUCGCGAGAGUACAUCUCGAUACCUUUCCCCGGCUCGGUGGGGGAGGCGAUGAGGAAGUUCUUGCGAGACGCCAUCGUCUUCGGAGAUGGAGAAGGAGAGUUCUUCUCGAGGUUGGGGGAUUGAAACGCGGCGUUUGAGUUGGAGUUAAUGACCUGGUCGAGGAGUACGGAUCUAGGAGAUGAGGAAGAGGAGUAGAGGAAGCUUGGGAUCAAAGAGUUCUUCGACGAUUCCAUCGCGGCGGAGGAGGGAGGAGAGAACGGAGAUAAGAUUCGCGGCUUGUGAAAUGAGUGUGGGUGCGGCGAUGGUCUGUAUCUCACGUUCACUUAGGGUUAUUACCACCAACUCUCAGUCUCUGUUCUUUAUUGGACAUCUAGAAUCCGUUGGAACAAGGCGUAUACUCUGCGAUAAUUACGAAACUGCCAUUCUAAUUGUUUAAUUUUAUUUAUUGGCCCAUGGGCUUUUCACGAUCCAUCAAAAGGCUACGUUGUAAUAAUUUUAAACUCUUUUAUUGUUCUGGCCCAUGGGCUUUUUAGAUGUGACCCAUCAAAUCAAAAACUAUAUAUAACACGAAAACUCCAAAACCUUAAAUCUCUUACCGAACAUAAUCUCUCGCCGCCGAUUGUCACCGUCGUGAGAGUUCCGAUCGUUAGCGCAACCUUGUAAGUUGUUUCAUACAUGAAAAGUAAUACCUUUUAUAGUAAUUCUUACUGAGAUUAGCCUUAAUUGAAUCUCUGUUUCCCCCGAUAGAUAAAAACAAACGAAGCGAUGAGCAUGUUGUUAUCUCAGAACUUUCCGACAACUAAGCUUAGAAGAGAAGAGUCCGAAGAUGAGGCCAAGGGAAAGAGAAGAAAGAUGGAGGAAGAUCAGGUCGAAAUGAAAAAGCUUGAGACUUUAUUAUUCGGGUCUCUCUAUAACCCCGCCACGUUCGAUGACGGUUCCGCUUUGUUUCAUGUAAACCGUUCUGCUGUGACGCUGACGCACACACCAGAUUACGAUGAAGAUGAUGAUGAUACCAAUCAAUCUGAGGGAGUUAGAAAGGGAGAAGCUGCGUGGGAGGACGAAGAAGAGAAAGAGAUAAACGUCAACAUAGCUACUGUCAACCGUCUGAGGAAGCUAAAGAGAGAGGAGAAGGAGAGUUCGAUCUCCGGUUCUGAGUAUAUUGCGAGGCUGAGAGCUCAUCACGCUAAGCUUAACCCAGGAACAGAUUGGGCUCGGCUUGAUUCUUUAAAUGAUGGUGAUGAUGAUAUCCUUCGAACUAAUGAAGAUCUUGUGGUGGAGUCUGGUGGUAACAAGCUGUGUUCUGGUCUUCUCGAGUACACACAACUCGAUAAUGCUAACGUAAACGAUCCUUCAACCACUCCGAUAAACUCUGUCCACUUCCACCAAAACGCUCAGCUUCUUCUCACCGCCUCGGACAAAAGAUUAAAGUUUUUCCACAUCGAUGGGAAGAGAAACGCCAAGAUACAAAGCAUCGUUCUUGAAGACUAUCCCAUUCACAAAGCCUCCUUCUUGCCAAACGGCUCUCAGGUGAUUGUCUCUGGGAGGAGAAACUACUUUCAGUGCUUUGAUUUAGAGAAGGCGAACUUCGAUAGAAUCGGUCCUUUGGUCGGUAGAGAGGAGAAGAGCUUGGAGAGUUUCGAAGUCUCGCAAGACUCUAACACCAUAGCCUUCGUUGGAAACGGAGGCUACAUCUUACUCGUGUCAAGUAAAACUAAAGAGCUCACAGGAACGUUAAAGAUGAACGGUUCGGUGAGGUCUUUAGCGUUUAGCGAAGAUGGGAAGAAGCUGCUGAGCUCAGGAGGAGACGGGGAAGUGUAUGUAUGGGAUCUGAGGACGAUGAAGUGUUUAUACAAAGGUGUUGAUGAAGGCAGCACGUGCGGGACAUCGCUUUGCAUGAAAGGAGAGUUGUUUGCCUCUGGGACGGAGAGAGGGAUUGUUAACGUUUACAAGACGUCUGAGUUCGUGGGAGGGAAGAGGAAGCCGGUGAAGACGGUGGAGAAUCUAACUUCUCAGAUAGGUUUCAUGAAGUUUAACCAUGACGCUCAGAUUCUUGCUAUAGGGUCGGCGAUGAAGGAAAACAGUGUUAGGCUGGUUCAUGUUCCGUCGCUAACGGUCUUUUCGAACUGGCCGCCGAUGGGGAGGAGCGUGCGUAGUCCUCGCUGCUUGGACUUUAGCCCCGGAGGUGGCUUCAUGGCUAUGGGAAACUCUGUGGGAGAAGUUUUGCUGUACCAACUGAAACAUUACAAGAAUGCUUGAAGUGGUUUCUAGCUUAGGGCAGUUUGUUUUAUUUUAUUUUUUUCUGAUUUUUUUGGGAUUGAGUGGGACUCACGCUAUGUCAACAACAACACUAUUUAACAUCCCAUGAAAUAAAAAAAACGUGAUUUUUUUUUGUAUUAAUUCCAAUUACUUUGAUAGUUGCAGUUUCCUAUUUCAAACGUGAUCUAUGGUAGAUAUUUUUGUUUUGUGAAGGUAUCUUAUAUGUAAUAUCGGUGUGAAACAAGAGCUUGAUCAUGUGUUAGAUGAGCUAGAGAAGAUUGCAGUUGUGAAACUGUUUCAGGGAAUGUUCAGACAUAAUCACUCAUAUUAGACUAGAGAAGGUGAAUGAGAGUUAGAUUCAGUCUUACUUAGUGUAUCUAUUUUGUUUUUGAAGUUAAUGGAAUGAACGAACAAAACAGGCUUUCAAAGUGUUUUUGUGAUUUUAUAAAUGAAAGGAAAUGUAUUUUAUCAGGUAAACAUUUCAUUGAUAGUGAAUGAUGAAGAGGCAGAGGAAUGUGUGAGGGGCUCUUCACUCGCCUUCUUUGAAACCUCCUUAAUGCAAUACAGAGACUAGAAUGUGUCUUCUAAGACUUGGAACUACUUCACAUUUUUCUUGUUAUAGAGUUACACAUUUUGUGGCAAAUACUAUAGUCAAUACAUGUUUUUCAACAAACUGUCACGGUUUUGAAUGAAAAGAAAAAAAUGUGUGUGGUUCCAAAAAUAUCCUUCCUCAAAAGCCUAAGAACCUUUACUUUUUCAGGGUUAUAACCGUCUAAACCGACCAACCAGCUGGUCAACAGAAGUUCUACAUCUGAUGACAUGUGUUACGUAAGGCCUCUGUAACGACCUUCGAUUUAAAGUUGGUCCGACAAACGUAAUCCCCUCAAGAUUUCUUUUUGUUUUUAAAUAAAAAAUUAUUUAAUUACUACCUUAAGCCAAAUAUUUAGUCCAAUAUAAUCAGCUUUAGUUUAUUCACCAAAUCUUAAACCAAUGAAGGGACAUAUAACUCUUCGGACUCACUUAAACUAAUAUCCAUGUCCUAACAAGCCUCCGUUCUUUAAUAAAAAAUCAGAAUAUGAUCAGAUAUUAUAAUUAUGAAAAACUUUAUGAAUUUUAUUCAUAUAGAAUGGACGAGAGGUGGUGACUAUGGUACCUACAUAUUUCGUAACAAGUUGUUUGUGCUGACAACGAUUUUAUUUGGGGAGGGGUUGGUCAAACAUGAGAAUCAAGAAGGCGAAUUCGCAGAUAAGAAAAGGCAACGCAUGCAUGAUGGAAGCCAAAGUAGCAUGUGACCAACUUUGUCAAAUUCAAGCUUUUUCAGGCUUUUAGUGAGCUUAUCUACAAUUACAAUCUAAGUUAUUAUGAAUUAUCACCUAACAGAAGUUGCUGCUUUAAAUUCAUAUAUGUAAAUAUGAAUAUGCUAGCAAGAACACAUGCCAACUUGUAGAUUUCAUACAUCAAGAACACUGGCAUUCUGAUCUUAGCAAGUAAAAUGAUGGUUUUGCAACUAUAUCAACAGUGUCUUCAUUUUUUUAAAAAAAAAGCUCAUUCCAAGCAUAUUGAUGAGUCCUUUAUUCCCUUUUUAUAAACAUUUCUCAGUUUUAUAUAUCCACCAUUGGGCCUUGGUUAAAUGAUUAUACGCGAUGCGAUCCUGAUUACAUUUUUAAACUCAUAUAUAAUAUAUAUGCCUAGCUAUGUAUGUGUAGGAUCGAUGCUCUAGGUGGAUUACAUUCCAAAGAAAAUAUUCCACCUCCUUUUCUGAUCAUAUUGGUAAUGAUAUUAAUGUGUAGCUUGUUUAUAGAGACUGAUUAGAGGAAUUUGAGCAUAAAGUGAACAAAGGAAUAUAACGGAAACCCACCGGCCAUAUACAUUCGACCUCAUCUCAAUGUUACGACUUGCUCACAUAAUGUUGGCACUUGGCAGCAUCAAUGUUUUUAUUCGACGCGUCUCUAUAAUUUAUACAUAUUAUUGGACCAAUUUGGCAGACAGAGCUAGUAACUGUAACUGUAUUAUACAGUAAUAACCGACAAGAAUGAUAUAUAUCUAUUGCCAAUAAUUCCCUAGUUCUAUUAACCUAUUUAACUGCAAAUAUCAUACAUAUUAUACUUCUAAAAUUGUUUAAAAAAAAAUACUGGAAAACAUAUAUAAACUUAAUGAAAUUAUCCCUUAUAUAUUAAAGGAGAAGCAUUGUAAUAAAUGCAUUCACACUAUAAUAUACACGUGGCAACCUCACAAUGAUUUGAUAAUAAAUAUGUUAACGCGUUCACACUAUAUUCAUAAAUGUGUUCACACUAUAUACUUUUUUAUUUUUUUUAAUAUAAAACUUAUGUGCAUGGUUCAAAUAAAACUUUGGAUUUUUCGGUUCGAAUCAAAACAAAUAACGAAUCAAAAGCUAAACUAUAUAUAUAUAUAUAUUAUUUUUAUUGUUUACGGAUAAAGUUGGGCAAAAUAUUUAUAAGUUUUGAUUCAAUUCGUUAUCUGUUUUGAUUUGAACAAAAAAAUAUGGACAUCGUAACUAUACGAAGCAAAUCAACUACUAAAAUACAAUUAAAAAAAAAAAAUCACAAAUACCAAUAUUUUUAGAAACGGAUAUCAAAUUUGAUCUGUUAUAUGCAUAUAUAUACAUAUAUGUACAGAAUUAUAUAUAUAUAUAUAUAUAUGUUAUAUAUAUUAUAGUUUAUAUAAGUUUUACAAUAUUUUUAUGGAUUAAAUUUAUUAUAUUAGGUAUUAAAAUUUAAAAGUUAAAUAAUAUUUUAUUUUUGUAAUAAAAUGUUAUUAUUAAAAUUUUCAAUUAUUUUUUAAAUUUUAUUUUAUUUACGGAUCAAAUCAGAUAUUCUUUAAAAUUCUAAAUCAUUUCGGAUAUCAGAGUCAAAGCCUUUUUAAUUUUUAAUUAAUUUUAAUUUUAUCUUUCAUGUAUUAUUUAGAACAAAAAUGUUAUUUAAUACUAAUUAACAAUAUAUUUAUAUAUUUAUCAUUUAUUUUUAUAUACUUUUACAUACAUAUGCAUGUGCACCUUGUGUGAACACUGUGUAAGUAUUUACCACCAGUGAAGUAUCAAUUUUUUUUUGGAAGUUGAAACAUUUUUUUUCUUAAUGUUUCUUUCACUACCGACCAAAUUAUAGUAAAAUGAUUUGUCUUAAUAAUUUUUUUUUCUUGAACUAUUAUCCAUUUACAAACUAUGAAACUAUUGGUUCAAUAUGACGAUUAUCUAAAAUUUAUAACAUGAAAAUAAAUAAAUAAUAAUAAUUUUUGGAUUUUACCGAAAAAACUAAAAAACAAACGUUCUAACAGAAUAAACCAAAAUAAAUAUUAAUUUAAAAUAAUGGUUAUAUUUUAGGAGAUUAAAAACAAAAAAAUAACUUAAAACCGAACCGAUAUCCAGAUUAAAUAGAUUUGUUUUUUUUUUAUUAAAAAUAACAAAACUAAUAAUCACAUCCCGCGCAAGGCGCGGGUUAUUACCUAGUAUCAUGUUAUUAUGAAAGAUAACAACCAUGACUAUCACAUCAAUUACUUUGUUAUCAUUUCGAAUAUAGAAUAAAUAAUAUCUACCAAUUAAACGUAGAAGUUCACCUUCUAUAAAUAGUCUGCAUGUCUCUUAUUCUUUCCUCAUCCCAACCAACUCACAAACAUACACACUAUCUAUCUCUCUAAGUGACAAAGCAAAAAUGCAAUACAAGACCGAAACUCGGAGCUCCUUGUCCUACAAUAAGAUGAACAACAUGAAUGUGUUCCCGUCAGAGACUUUGGCUAGAAUAGAAUCGAUGGCGGCAGAAAACGCGGUGGUCAUAUUCAGCUUGAGCACUUGCUGCAUGUGCCACGCCGUCAAGCGUCUCUUCCGCGGACUGGGAGUCAGCCCCGCCGUCCACGAGCUCGACCUCCACCCUCAUGGAGUUGAUAUCCACCGAGCUCUCAUUCGUCUCCUCGGCUGUUCCAGCGGCGGCGCUUCAACUUCUCCGGGGGCACUUCCGGUGGUAUUCAUCGGUGGGAAGAUGGUGGGAGCAAUGGAGAGAGUGAUGGCUUCUCAUAUCAACGGCUCACUCGUCCCUCUUCUCAAAGAUGCUGGUGCUCUCUGGCUCUGACCCAACCAAAGUCCACCUUCUUCUGCGUUUAUUUUUCCUUUUUUUUUUUGUUUCUUCACUUCUUUUUUUUUGUUUAAAGAACAAAAAAAUGGUUAGGUUAAUCAUAAUGUUGAAUUAGAGAGACAGAGUGAAGGGAAAAGAGUGGUGCGUUUGUUUUAAGCUUAUAGCUAAAAACACUCUUUGUUUAUCUUAACUACACUAAUAUAUAUAGGAGUAUUUAGUAAUCUCCGUCUCUAGAUUAACUUUCUUAUUUCUACAUUUACAACUUUGACUUGCAAAAAUUAAUGGUCAAAUUAAGACAAUAGUAAGGUUGUUUUCAUGACAUAAAAUCUUAACCGUUAUAACCGUUAACGGUGGGGAAAAUAAAUGACGGUCCCCCCACAUCAGAUUACGUGGACAACCACAAGCUUAUAAUCUGUGACUUUGACCCGACCGCUGUGUCAGAGAUGAGCUCUAUAGCAGUAAGUACAUGCUGAUCUAAUAGCUCCACAGCUUUUCUUCUUCUUCUUCUUUGACAAUAAUGAAUACAACAGAACACAUUUUCUCAGUUAAAAAGGCUUAUUUAAACCUUUAACUUCAGUAACACGUUAAAGGGCUGCUCACCACUGAAAAAGAAAAUAAAUCGUAUAUAACGUACGAAAAAUAUAAUAUUCAUUAGAAUAAGUCUUACGUAGACAACAAUUAACGAGUUGUCACUUGUAACGUAUGCAUUCACCCAGAGAACUAGGUUAUAGCCUAGAGGAGGUAUAGGAUAUCUACACAGAAUAAAGCGAAGAAACAAGUUGGGGAAUCUAAGUUGCCUAUUGGUGCUUCUCAUCAAGUGCCCGAAUAAAUGGAAGAAUGGAAUCAGGAUCAGAUGAUGAACAGAAAGACGCAGACAGGUCAGAAGAUAACUGUGAACGAGAGAUGGCAAUGCCUUUGAUCCAUUUCAUAUGUCUGAUUCCAGUCUCAACUUCUUUGGCAUCAGACAUACUAGAAGAGUAGAUGAGUUCAUUCAGUUCGUAGUCAUUUAGUAAAUAUAUCAAAGUACUAUAAAGAAAUAUGUAUUAAGGAGAAAAAAACAAUUACUGCUGCAAAAUGAGUAGGUGGUCCAUCAAACUUGAGAUACAUAUAAAAAGAACAAUCCCUUGGGAAAUUGAUGUCAUUGUAAAACAAGAUUGAAAAAAACAUGACUAUAUUAUUGUGUUUCAUUUCCAAGAGUGAUCAAACGUUUAAGAGGUGAGAUUGAGACAGAAAACUAAAAUCCACAGACUAAAAUUAGUUUAAGAAGACAAUGGUGUUGAUACCAUAGUCAUAAAUCAAAUUGUAACCAAAAAAAAAAAGAACAUCGUGGACAAACUAAUUCUUCUCUUUGGGAAUGUCCUUCCCCGGAACCUUGGUUUCAAUUUCCUUUGGUUUUAUCGACUGUGCUGCCCUGAAAAAAAAAAAACACAUCAAACUCAUCAGUAACACAACACAUAGAACUUUGGUCUGUGUUGAUACAGAACUAUCACUAUCAGCAGUGACCAAUCAUUACUCUUAUGCAAAUCUAAAGUUACCAAAUCUCAAAAGAUAAUUUCCAUAAUACAAACUGAUGAUCACAAAAAAACCACAAUUUCGUUGGAAUUAUCUUUAGAACUCAAAUUAUCUUUGGUCGGAAACGGUCAAGGGAACGGACACAACAUUAUAUUCUAUUUUUAUAUAUCAUAAAAAUUGCAAUAACCAAAGGGAAAGGAAAGGAACUAACUUGGAGGCGGCGGAGGUUUCUUCUUCGAGCCAGUGGCGGAUGUGUUUGACGUUGCGCCUCAAGACGGUGACAGAUUGCUUGACGUCGCUCUUCAAUAGCAUCACCACGGCGCCUACUCCGGCCACCGUCAGUAUGAAAUUCGUUAAACCCAUUCUUUCGAUUUAAGGAUUCGAUUGGAAGAUUGCUCUGUUUCUGCUUCUGGGUUGGGACGCUAGGGAUUUAAAGAGGGUUUUAUGUUUUGUUUUUUUUGUUUUUGCUUGGAGAAGCAGCCAAGGCAGUUGAUUCGUUCGUUCGUCGUGAUUCGCUCACCAUUCAGUACUAUCCCCUUUUCUAUGGGCCGUUAUUUUGCAAUUAUAUGGGCUUUUAAGAUUAUUAAAGCCCAAAUAUUGGAUCAAGUUUUUAGAUAAAACCAAUUAUUUACCAACUAAUGCAAAGUUAGUCAAAUUGGUUUUUAAAUGUUAUGGUGAUUGAGUUUAGAUAGGAAAUUUGAAUUAUAAUCAAAUUAAAUACGUUUUUGUGUCUUGUUCUAAUGAAUACGAUCAAAAUUGUUAGGAUGGUCAGGUCAUCUUUUCUGGCUCUCAAUAAUUCAUGGUUCUAUAUAUGUAUUCAUACUUUUGGAUUAUAAUGUAGGAAAAGAAAUGAGAGGUCAAUGACUAGAGAUGGGAGUCAACUAAACCAAUACAAAUAUUUCAAAAAAAAAAAAUAGACAAUAGCUAAGGAUGGAGGAAAACAUAUGAUCUUGAGAGGUUGAGAUAAUAUAAACUCUUAGAACUUGUUCUCAUAGUUUCAAUCUCUAGCUUAAGUGUUACUACUAAGCUUUCUUUAGACUGUAACAUGUUGUAAUUUCUUUGGUCUCCAUCAAACUUAUCGCAAACUAUAUGUAUGGCUUAAAAACAUAUACCGGUUACAUUUAUUUUAAUGUAUCAAACUAGUUCAAAAAAUAAAAGAGGAAAACUCAUGCGAUGAUGGCCCAAGAAAUUAUAUGAUACUUGACAUUUUACCAAAAAGAAAAAGAAAAGAUAUGAUAUAAUUAUGGAGGAUACUAGCAGGAAAAAUAACGGAAAGGGAUUCAAUAAUGUAAUUCCAGUACAAGUACUUAACUGAGAAUCAGAAAUCAAAGAUGACCAAAAACAAUAACAAAAAGACAGGACAUAUAAUUAAGGAUGCAGCUACAAAUGAUGGCCAAAAGUUGCAAUGUCAAAUUAACUAGGCAGCGUAGAUGUGGAUAUGAAGAGCGAUAAGGGAGACUGUGAUGCAUGCAAAGAAGAUGAGUGUGUGAAUCACAAUGGCUGCACCGCUUGUCUGAAACCCGCCAAACUCAACCACCUUGGUCUUCCCCGGAACCUGAAACAAUACUCCGGGAGUCAAUACAAUGAAAAAAAUCACCGACAUUAACACGGGUCCCCAAUUCAAAGCCAUCUCAAGAUCUAGUUAGAUAGAAAGCGUUUGUUAAAUUUAGGAGUUAAUUGUAGGAGAUAUAGCUAGUGUAUGUAUGUUUUAAUACAACGAUGCAUGUAAAUUUAUAGAACGCUUCAAUCAAGAUUGAGAUCUUAAUGAAACAGUGGCUUGAACCGGACGAAAUUAGAAGUUUGCAUCGUGAAGAAAAGAACGAUUCUCUGCAGCUACUGGAUCGUAUCAAAACUAUAUAUUAUAAUAUUAUUGUCACACUCUUAAAAAAAAAACUAUGUAUUGAUUGUUGUGUAUGCUAAGAAUCUGAUUCGAAAAAAAAAAAAAAAAAUUUAACUUCAGUAACACGUUAAAGGGCUGCUCACCACUGAAAAAGAAAAUAAAUCGUAUAUAACGUACGAAAAAUAUAAUAUUCAUUAGAAUAAGUCUUACGUAGACAACAAUUAACGAGUUGUCACUUGUAACGUAUGCAUUCACCCAGAGAACUAGGUUAUAGCCUAGAGGAGGUAUAGGAUAUCUACACAGAAUAAAGCGAAGAAACAAGUUGGGGAAUCUAAGUUGCCUAUUGGUGCUUCUCAUCAAGUGCCCGAAUAAAUGGAAGAAUGGAAUCAGGAUCAGAUGAUGAACAGAAAGACGCAGACAGGUCAGAAGAUAACUGUGAACGAGAGAUGGCAAUGCCUUUGAUCCAUUUCAUAUGUCUGAUUCCAGUCUCAACUUCUUUGGCAUCAGACAUACUAGAAGAGUAGAUGAGUUCAUUCAGUUCGUAGUCAUUUAGUAAAUAUAUCAAAGUACUAUAAAGAAAUAUGUAUUAAGGAGAAAAAAACAAUUACUGCUGCAAAAUGAGUAGGUGGUCCAUCAAACUUGAGAUACAUAUAAAAAGAACAAUCCCUUGGGAAAUUGAUGUCAUUGUAAAACAAGAUUGAAAAAAACAUGACUAUAUUAUUGUGUUUCAUUUCCAAGAGUGAUCAAACGUUUAAGAGGUGAGAUUGAGACAGAAAACUAAAAUCCACAGACUAAAAUUAGUUUAAGAAGACAAUGGUGUUGAUACCAUAGUCAUAAAUCAAAUUGUAACCAAAAAAAAAAAGAACAUCGUGGACAAACUAAUUCUUCUCUUUGGGAAUGUCCUUCCCCGGAACCUUGGUUUCAAUUUCCUUUGGUUUUAUCGACUGUGCUGCCCUGAAAAAAAAAAAACACAUCAAACUCAUCAGUAACACAACACAUAGAACUUUGGUCUGUGUUGAUACAGAACUAUCACUAUCAGCAGUGACCAAUCAUUACUCUUAUGCAAAUCUAAAGUUACCAAAUCUCAAAAGAUAAUUUCCAUAAUACAAACUGAUGAUCACAAAAAAACCACAAUUUCGUUGGAAUUAUCUUUAGAACUCAAAUUAUCUUUGGUCGGAAACGGUCAAGGGAACGGACACAACAUUAUAUUCUAUUUUUAUAUAUCAUAAAAAUUGCAAUAACCAAAGGGAAAGGAAAGGAACUAACUUGGAGGCGGCGGAGGUUUCUUCUUCGAGCCAGUGGCGGAUGUGUUUGACGUUGCGCCUCAAGACGGUGACAGAUUGCUUGACGUCGCUCUUCAAUAGCAUCACCACGGCGCCUACUCCGGCCACCGUCAGUAUGAAAUUCGUUAAACCCAUUCUUUCGAUUUAAGGAUUCGAUUGGAAGAUUGCUCUGUUUCUGCUUCUGGGUUGGGACGCUAGGGAUUUAAAGAGGGUUUUAUGUUUUGUUUUUUUUGUUUUUGCUUGGAGAAGCAGCCAAGGCAGUUGAUUCGUUCGUUCGUCGUGAUUCGCUCACCAUUCAGUACUAUCCCCUUUUCUAUGGGCCGUUAUUUUGCAAUUAUAUGGGCUUUUAAGAUUAUUAAAGCCCAAAUAUUGGAUCAAGUUUUUAGAUAAAACCAAUUAUUUACCAACUAAUGCAAAGUUAGUCAAAUUGGUUUUUAAAUGUUAUGGUGAUUGAGUUUAGAUAGGAAAUUUGAAUUAUAAUCAAAUUAAAUACGUUUUUGUGUCUUGUUCUAAUGAAUACGAUCAAAAUUGUUAGGAUGGUCAGGUCAUCUUUUCUGGCUCUCAAUAAUUCAUGGUUCUAUAUAUGUAUUCAUACUUUUGGAUUAUAAUGUAGGAAAAGAAAUGAGAGGUCAAUGACUAGAGAUGGGAGUCAACUAAACCAAUACAAAUAUUUCAAAAAAAAAAAAUAGACAAUAGCUAAGGAUGGAGGAAAACAUAUGAUCUUGAGAGGUUGAGAUAAUAUAAACUCUUAGAACUUGUUCUCAUAGUUUCAAUCUCUAGCUUAAGUGUUACUACUAAGCUUUCUUUAGACUGUAACAUGUUGUAAUUUCUUUGGUCUCCAUCAAACUUAUCGCAAACUAUAUGUAUGGCUUAAAAACAUAUACCGGUUACAUUUAUUUUAAUGUAUCAAACUAGUUCAAAAAAUAAAAGAGGAAAACUCAUGCGAUGAUGGCCCAAGAAAUUAUAUGAUACUUGACAUUUUACCAAAAAGAAAAAGAAAAGAUAUGAUAUAAUUAUGGAGGAUACUAGCAGGAAAAAUAACGGAAAGGGAUUCAAUAAUGUAAUUCCAGUACAAGUACUUAACUGAGAAUCAGAAAUCAAAGAUGACCAAAAACAAUAACAAAAAGACAGGACAUAUAAUUAAGGAUGCAGCUACAAAUGAUGGCCAAAAGUUGCAAUGUCAAAUUAACUAGGCAGCGUAGAUGUGGAUAUGAAGAGCGAUAAGGGAGACUGUGAUGCAUGCAAAGAAGAUGAGUGUGUGAAUCACAAUGGCUGCACCGCUUGUCUGAAACCCGCCAAACUCAACCACCUUGGUCUUCCCCGGAACCUGAAACAAUACUCCGGGAGUCAAUACAAUGAAAAAAAUCACCGACAUUAACACGGGUCCCCAAUUCAAAGCCAUCUCAAGAUCUAGUUAGAUAGAAAGCGUUUGUUAAAUUUAGGAGUUAAUUGUAGGAGAUAUAGCUAGUGUAUGUAUGUUUUAAUACAACGAUGCAUGUAAAUUUAUAGAACGCUUCAAUCAAGAUUGAGAUCUUAAUGAAACAGUGGCUUGAACCGGACGAAAUUAGAAGUUUGCAUCGUGAAGAAAAGAACGAUUCUCUGCAGCUACUGGAUCGUAUCAAAACUAUAUAUUAUAAUAUUAUUGUCACACUCUUAAAAAAAAAACUAUGUAUUGAUUGUUGUGUAUGCUAAGAAUCUGAUUCGAAAAAAAAAAAAAAAAGAAUCUGAUUCGAUCUCGUGGGUCUGUAGUAUCUCUUGUUUUUUUCUUUCUUUUCUGUUAUGUUAGAAAUAGACAUUUGGCCUUUGAGACUUGAGACUUGAGACUUCUAUCGUUUAUCAAUGAAUUCAUAGUAAGUGAAUUUCUAUAAAUACCUAGAAGGUUAAUUUGCAUGUAUACCCCUGACUUAUUUGAAUACAAAGUACAAACUCAAAUGAAUUCCACUGUACUUGUAUUUCAAAUUUUCAAAUAAUGUUUCUUUCAAUCCCGAGAAAUAGCUUUUACAACUCCAAUAUAACAAGUUCCAUUGUGGAUUAUGACAUUUUAAUAUAACAAACAUUAAUAAAAAAAAAACAGGAGAAUUCGUAUGUUUUUAAAAUAUUUGUGACAUAAAUUAGUUAAAAGCAGAGCAAUCCCUACGGAUCUCUCCUUGGCUCCCAACCUUAACACCAACGCGGCCGAGUUUCCUCAUAGCUGACGUAAAAGCCCUAUUGAACUCUUCAGCACUGUUUGCAAACCUGAUCACCGUUGCCUGAGACCUGAAAUCGUUAAACAGAAUUUGAUCGGACGUGAAAAGUCCUUUCCGAGCAACUAGGUUCUGGAAGUAGACAUUGUCAAAGACAUUUGGGGUGUUUAGGUCCAGGUUUACGGCGACGCUGGGGUCCGCACCAACACGAGGGCAGGACUGCAUCAGCUGCUGUGCGUAGGCCGGGUCAAGCGUGGGGUCUACGGGCAUGAACGCUGAGAAGUUGUAGAGACGGUUAGCGAAACGGUCGCAGUGAGAGAAUCCUAUAGUGUGUGCGCCUGAGAGAGCAAUCAUGUCGGUCAUUGUAAGCCCGUUACUAGCGAAUAGAUUGACCAGACCAUUUACGUCUAGCUCUGGUCCUGGUAACUUCCUGUCAACUCUAGACGCGUUUGACACGAGCCCGUCUCGUCUCCCUAGCUCCACCUUAAACCCUGGCCCUCCAGCCUGUCAAUAUCUCAUAAUUAAUUAUUCUCUCGAUUUUAUUUUCAAUUUUUUUUAAUACAUUGCAUAAAGAUAUUUUCUUGAGUGUUUUUAAUGAAAAACUUUAUCUAAAUUAUUUGAUUUUAAAUUUUUUGAAGACAUAAAUAAUAACUUAUCGUACUGGUUUGAUUUAAACUAAUAAAUAUUCGUAAGAAGGUUAUGCGGACAACACACCAAGUUAGUUUAGUAUGAAACAUGAAUUUUUUAUUUAUUUUGCUAAUCAAAUGAGUACUCAAUAAGGAGCGUUGACUUACGAGGACGACAACGUCUCUGGCGGCGAGAGCCAUAAUAUCGGCACAUGACACACGGCCAGGACAUUGAGCUUCCACAGCUAGUUUAGCUUUAUUCACAGUGUCGAAACCGUCUCCUGCGAGAGAUAUAUUGUCCUGCGCGUCCUUCUCCGCGUCUCCAUUAUCAGACGUUACUAACACAGAAGCAUCACAUCCCUAUACAGCCACCAAACACACAUGAAUAAUAAUACCAAAAAAUAAACAUAAGAAGAGUUUCAAGAUCACGACAAGGCUACAUACACCGACGAAGCAGUCGUGAAAGAACAUUCGUAAUGUUGCCGGAGCCGUGAUGGUGGUUUGUUGGUAUUUCGUUGCAACCGCCUGACGAACGAUAAGCUCCACGUUAGGACAUGUCGAGGCGUAGAAAUUUUCUGAUAAUUCAGCAUCCGACUCGACCACCAUGCAAAAGAACAGCAUCCCUAGGAAAAAACACGUCUGCAUGUGUCUUUUUGAAUCGCUACUAGUAUCCAUCUCGAUAUUCUCCUUUAAGUUCUUGUUUCUAGCUAUAAGGUCCCCUCUUGGAUAUAAUGGAUGACAGCACUCUGUUUCUUGGACUCUCCGAUAUGCCACCGGAUAUAUCUGUAGCUGCUGAGUCUCUUUUAUAGAAUAUAAAUGUUUGUUUUUUUGUCUUGAUGAAAAAGUGAUAGAAAUAGAGUAUGUUUAUUAUGAAUGAUUAGAAUAUAGUCACAUUAACAGAUGAAUGACAGAAUUUUACAACUGGGAUUUUCUGGAGUUUUACAUAAGCGAGGACAUUUCUUGAGUUAGGGGGUUUCAUUGAGAGUGACAUUUUAACUAAUAUAUUUGGUUAAAUAAUAUUUUCUUGAGUAAAUGGAAAUUAUCGCUAACUAAUAUAUUGUCGUUAAUCACAAAAGGAUAAACUAAAUUCAAAAGAUGAGUUUGAAAGUAUUCUUGGUCUAAUCCUUGAAUUCAGCGAAUGUACCUGUUCUAAUGUAGUUCAUCAACUUUAGCUCAACGGUUUAUAUUGAUGCCGAUAUUUUGAAAUAAACAAUUAAUGUAACCAGUUUUGAUUAUUUUCAACACAGUUUUCUUUUGGUAUGAUAAUUUAACUUUCUAGAAUCAGAGCUGACAGCACUAGUUCUCUCUCUUUGAUGAAACUAGAGACUCCUAAACAAAUAGAUAUUCAAAUUGCUGAUGGUUAAAAUGUUAUUUUCCGCAAAGAAAAAAAAAACAUAUAACGUUAGCGUGCUGUAAGUGAAACAUUUCAAUGUUUGAUCAAUUCGAUUUUCAACCGCAAAUAAGAAAACUAUUUAUAAGCUCAUUGUAGGUAAACGAUAUGCACAUGUGUACUAACUACAAACACAUAAGAGCUUAACUGUAAUUUAAAUUUAUAGAAAGGUUUAAAUAUUAGUGAUUGGAACUAAAUUUUAUCAACGAUUUCUAGUUCAAAACUUGAAUUAUGACUUGUUGUUCCAAUGUCUACAUCGUAUUAGUGGUGGUCGUGGUUUCGCCUCUUCCACUCUCUCUCGGUUUCUCAAUUCUUCUUCAAAAAUUGCUCUCCCGUUUUAGCUUGGUUCUUGGUUAUUUAAUUAUAAGUCUGUUAUUUGAUUAAAUAACUUUGUAGCGGUAAAAUAAAAUUAAAAAUUGGGAAAAAUAAAAAUGAAAAGCUAUUUAAUCACUAUACGUAUAAGUAACCACUAAUCAAACCAAUUUACAAAAAUCAACCAAAAAGUGGUGGCAUCUUAUUUCAGCGUCGUUCUCUUACUUUUGUUGUGCCACUCUCAGGCUAAUAGCAGGCGACAGUCCUGAUAUGUCAUCACAUACCAUCACCAAGUGGACAUGUUCCACAACGUCAGCAGUUUUGGUAACCUCAUUCACACCACUUUUUUCCUCAACUUCCUUUUCUUAUUCAACUAUGAGUUUUUGUGUAAAGAAAAAGACUAUAACCAUUAUCAACACUCCAAAUUCCCUCAAUCUUUGUCACAACUCCUAGAGGAGUCAUCUUUGGUAUCAACCAUCUCAUAAUGUAGCUUUCGUAGAGACCGACCUAGGACAGAAAAAAAUCUUCCACAAGCCUGAAGAGCUCUCAAAAUUACUCGGAAAGGAAAGAAAUCAUCAUUUCCAUCAAACUUGAUUUAUUUCUUCAAUGUUUAAAUUGCAUCUAAGAGUUUCUCUAGCGUAACCGAGUCAUCUAAGAAAGCUUUCUUCAACUGAAUGGUUUGAUAUUCUAUUGAUCGAAUCUUGAAGCAACAGAGCAUGGUUUUAUUAUGAAAGCUAGUAUCUAUGUAUAAGAAUUUUUUUUAUUUUAUACAAAGUGCAUCAUUUGUACCUUAAUAGCAUAAUAGUUUCUCUUAGUUUUAUUAUUUAGUCGAUAAACUUAUUUAUACAAACUGUAUGACUUAUCUACCAAAUUCUUUACAUAUACAUAUUCAUUAUACAUACAUAUAUAUUAAAUUUCUUAAUAACUACAAAAUAUAUAGUUUAUGCAAUCUUGUAAUCUCUAAAAUCUUAUAACAUAUGGUAAUGAUUAAUAAUGAGUUAGGCUGUGCUUACGGUUUAGAAAAAUGUGAUCAAGUCUAAGCAUGAUGUUGUACAUGCCUCACGGAAACUAGCUAUACAAAAAAAUUCACUCUAAUAGUUCAGCUAUUUGCUUUGAUAUUUUUUUUGUCUAUUUAACAUGGAAACACAAUUAAAACAUUAUGUCGGAUCCACAAGUCAGGAGACGGAAAUGCGAUCCUUGUUAGAAGAGUGUGUGCAGUCGUCUUCCAACGGAGAGGUACCAGAUUCUCCACCGACAACUUUGCACUAUUGGCAUCAAACAUAAACAGGGCUGCAGAGUUUCUUGUAUCUUCUUUUCUUUCUCUUUUGCCUCCCAUGUCAGACGACUAUGUUCAUAAGGACAUCAUCACAUGCGAAUAUUUUGAAGCUUGUGAUUGCAGACAUCAUAGUACGCAAUACUGCUCUUAACAGGAGUGUUGUGGCACACUACAAGAAAAUUUAGUAUUAAUAGCAUCGGGAAAAUGCUAUUGAACAAUACAAUAACAGUAUUAGGUCACAUGUAUCAUCGGCCACGAUAAUAGAUCUGUCAUUUAAGAUAGCUUUUUUUUUGUUAUGCUAUUGUAUUGUGAUAUAUUAUAGCGUUUAUUGUAUACAAUUAAAUAUUUUUUAAUAGCAUGCAUGUAAUUUUCGUUAUUAUUUACGAGUCACUUAAUACUGUCUGCGGCACUAUAUUUUGCUUCUUGCGCACACCAAUUCUUGAUGACGGUUCUAUCACCACGUUAAUGGCAAGAAACACCGGGACGAGUUCAACAUUCCUAGACGCAUAGCCCGCAAGUUACGGCUAAUCUAUGGUUUGUGCAAUCAGUCAAGUUUGAUAUCCCUCUCUUACAUUCCAAGACCGCUUCUGUUUCUUUUGCGUUACAACUCUGAGCAAGACUUGGAAUACAGGGUACAGUUUCUGAGAGACCUAAUGCUUUCACCAUCAGUGUUCGUUCUACGUGUUUUGGAAUGGUUAAUAUAUUAUUGGGUGGAAGAUAUAGGGUUUAACUGUGCAUUCACUCAUGGUUUAGAAAAAUUAGCAUCAACCCUAGGCAUGUUAUGAAUGAUGUUGUACAUGGUUCACUAAACAAUUGAAACCAGCUAUAUAAAGUUUUACCCAGUUCAAUAUUUGCUUUAGAUUUUUGUAUAUUCAUUAUGGGAAACAUUGAAUUGACAACAUAUGUAUAUUAGUUAAGCAUAAUUUGGUUAGCAAACGUGUUGAACACGUAAAUCCUGAGCGUCUUCUGUAUGCAAGGAGGGCCUCCUGGAUGUCAACUUUCUUUCUACUCAACACAGCGUCAACACGAGACUCAAACUCAAGAGAAAGUUCGAAACUACAUAACUGGGCUUUAUAAAAGCCCAAUAGUGAUAGUUGUGUCAUGUGUGUUUCUUCUAAAACACGUAAUGGCAUGUAAUGUUAAUAACCAUAAAGAGAAAGGGCCUUUCUAUAACACUUACUAGAAGGCUGAUGGUGAGCCACUGAGCCGGUAAAAAGGAUUAUUAUUUAGUUUCAGACAUUUGAAUAAGAAAAAAACUAAAAACGUGCAUACCUAUCUAAGUGACAAAACCAACAUGUGUCUUUAAGUACCGUGUCUGUGUCACUCUUCACUCUUCACAAUUUCAAACACUCUUUUGUCUCCUGACAAAAAAAAAAUGGCGGCAGCUUUACAAACGAACACACGGUUGAAUCCGAUCAAUGUCGUCCCAGGCAGAUCUCUCACCAAUCCCUCUCGCGCGCCGUGUAGAGUAAGGUGCGCCGCCGCUUCACCGGGGAAAAAACGGUUUAACAUCGCUCUACUUCCCGGCGACGGGAUCGGUCCGGAAGUCAUCUCCGUCGCCAAGAACGUGCUUCAACAAGCUGGAUCUCUCGAAGGUGUAGUUAUGAGCGUACGUGUUGUUGCUUAGACAGUAGCUAACUGAGUCUUUUUUGAUGUAUUGGAUUACAGGACUGGAGUUUAAUUUCCAGGAGAUGCCUGUCGGUGGAGCAGCUUUGGAUUUGGUCGGAGUGCCCUUGCCGGAGGAAUCCUUUGCAGCUGCUAAACAAUCUGAUGCCAUACUUCUUGGAGCUAUCGGAGGGUGUGUGUGUCUUCUACUGAACUCUUGAUUCAGAGAUUUUAUUCUCAGCUUUGAGUUAUUUGGAUGUAUUCAGGUACAAAUGGGACAAUAAUGAGAAACAUCUGAGACCAGAGAUGGCUCUGUUUUACCUUAGAAGAGAUCUCAAAGUCUUUGCAAACCUCAGACCUGCUACUGUUUUGCCACAGGUAUAUAUAAUAAGCCUAUCUUCGAUUUGGUCAGCUUAUAUCACCUGGGACUAUUUUGCUUGAAUUAUUUGUACUUUUUACUUAUAAAAAAUCAAAAUUUGUACUUUUUACCAGCUAGUUGAUGCUUCCACCUUGAAGAGAGAAGUGGCAGAAGGUGUUGAUAUGAUGAUUGUAAGGGAGCUUACUGGAGGUAUCUACUUUGGAGAGCCAAGGGGCAUUAAAACCGAUGAAAAUGGCGAAGAAGUCGGCUUUAAUACAGAGUUCUACGCUGCUCAUGAGGUGCUUACUAAUACGACUACUCUUCACAAUGUUCUCUCCAUGACAUUGGUUGUAUAGUAAUGUGUUUCUCAUGUUUUUCAGAUCGAUAGAAUUGCUCGUGUUGCAUUCGAGACUGCUAGGAAACGGCGUGGCAAGCUGUGUUCUGUCGACAAAGCCAAUGUGUUGGAUGUACGUUUGAUACUUGUGUUUGAAUCUGUUGUGUGUGGGCAUUUCUAGUGAUGCUAAUUUAUUUUUUGGUCAUAUAGGCAUCAAUAUUGUGGAGGAGAAGAGUAACAGCGUUAGCCUCUGAGUAUCCAGACGUUGAACUAACACAUAUGUAUGUCGACAAUGCUGCAAUGCAGCUUAUUCGUGACCCCAAACAGGUGAUCUUCUCGUCCAUUGGUUAAAGUGGUAACUUAGUAGUAACUCAAUGUGUUUUUUAAUAUUUUUUAAAAAACAUUUGCAGUUUGACACAAUAGUCACCAAUAACAUUUUUGGUGAUAUAUUGUCUGAUGAGGCUUCAAUGAUCACUGGAAGCAUUGGGAUGCUUCCAUCUGCUAGUCUCGGUGUAUCGGUAAAAUAAAAUUAAAAUCUGAAAAUCUUCCAAAGGUUCCUACGUACAACAAUAUCUUGAUUGUUAAUUAACUUGUGUUGGAAUCAGGGACCUGGACUGUUUGAGCCUAUACAUGGUUCAGCACCAGAUAUAGCUGGCCAGGACAAGGCAAACCCAUUGGCCACCAUUCUCAGCGCUGCAAUGCUUCUGAAAUAUGGACUUGGAGAAGAAAAGGCUGCAAAGAGGAUCGAAGACGCGGUGUUGGAUACUUUGAACAAAGGGUUUAGAACCGGUGACAUCUACUCCCCUGGAAAUGUAUGUAUGCUGAUUUUCAUUUUUUUAUAAGUUAGUAAGCACAGUUAUUAAUAUUUACUUAAAAGAUCUUGUGUUUUUGAUAAUAUGAAACAGAAACUGGUGGGAUGCAAGGAGAUGGGUGAGGAAGUGCUAAAAUCAGUGGACUCCAAAGUUACAGCUACUGUUUAAGUUUUAAUGAUGAUUGAAAGCAGAUGAAAAAGUGGUAACCCUUUGGUUUCACGGUUACUUAUAUGCUAAUCCAUGUAUUAGAAACGUAAUAUGCAAGCUUCUUGAUAAUAAAUUUGGGAUCAAUUCUGUAUUCUAAAGAACAGAUUCUUCUCCAAAAUGAAUGUUUUUCUUUUUAAUAUAUUUUGGCACAUUAGUCAUGCUAAUGUAUAUAUAGCAUUUCAAAUUUCAAAUGCAUAUUUGGCGGCAGAGAUAAUAGGACUACACAUUGAUCUGUUUUAAAAAAAAACUACACAUUGAUCUGGUCUGAUGUUUACUAAUCAAUUGACUUUAUUAUGCUUAUACAAACAAUUGACGACAUGUUUUGUAAACAGAAGAAGCUCGACAUUUCUUUCAAUACUAAAAGGGUUUUGAGUCGAACCUCAGAAUCUUUGUAAACCUGAAACCACAAAAUAUAAUAUUAGUUUUGUCUUGAUAGUUAUUCGAACCAAAGACUUCUAAUAAAAUAGUCAUGAUCGUUUUCGGUUGACCUAACGAACUCUCAUCAAGAAUUAAAAGACCAAGAUUCGGAGGUAAAAAGCUCGACGUUUUACAACUAUAUCAUUUCACACCCUUUUUUUUUUGUAGAAGAGUAUCAUACUUGUUGAGUGGAAUCAAACAUGUAAUAUUCAUGUUGCAAUCUGGAUCACGAGAUAAUUGCGAGACCUAGAUGUCUAAAAUAGUUGUCGACAAAAAAAAAAAAAAAAUGUCUAAAAUAGAAUCCGAUGAAUCACUUUCUUCUGGUCAACUCAUUUUCAUUUAAGGGUCCUUCAUUAAAACCAUGUUCUAAAAUAAUGAAUUAUUUGGUUGAGCUCAUACGAUCAUAUGAUUCGUGACGUUAGAAAUAAAUAGAACAAAGUGCAAAACAUUACACUAUAAUUGUUUCUUGGCUAUUUUUCUUAAUAAAUGAGUUAUUUUCCUUACAAAAUCGAUUACGUCAAUUCAGAUACAACUAGAUGGGUGCUGCAUUGAGUUAACCAGAAUAGUCAUAUCUACAUAGACGUAUUCCAUGAGGGAGUUGUAUAAUGUAUUGAUGGUUGAUGAGGAGUCAACCUCAUGACAAGUCUCGUCUUUGCCGCACAUACGAUUAUGAAGGUAUGGUUAAUAUCUCCACCGGCUUCUCUAAACCUCUCUAUACCACACUUUGAUAUUCCUUGUAUCACCCAAAGAUCUAACUUACAUCACCUCUCUCCCUCCCUCCUUCCAUGCAUUUAGUUUAGUCCCCCGACCAAUGGCGGACCAACGUUAACAUAAGAAGAUGGGAUGUCACAGACACUCCUUGAAUCUGGAUUAAUACGUAUUUGUAUGGAUAAACAUUAAAAUUUCACUAGUUCUGUUGGUAAAGUCCCCUUAGUGACAUUCCUCAACCCAGCUUUGAUUCCCACUAUUGACACCUUUAGAAGUUUUUUCCUUUUACAUUGAUAGCUUCCUGGGUCUGCCACUGCGGCCAACUAUGAUAUGUAUUCUCCUCGCUUCACAUUAUACACAACAAAAGAGAGAGAAUAAAAGGUAUACAUUAAACUAGGAAUCUAACCCAAAAAGAUAUAUGAAAUUUGUACCGGAACUGAACCCGACAUGAACCAAAAUAUUUCGGAUAUUCAAAAUAUCCGAAUCAUAAUUAUGUAUUUAAACAUAAUAAUUAAUUUUAGAUCUAAUAGCCAAAAGAUAUUUUAAAUACUUGAAAUUGUCAAAAAUAUCUGAAAUAACCAAAAAUAACCAAAAGUAAAUAUUUAAGAAUAGUAAAAAAAAUACUUAAAACACUGAAAUAGAUAAUAGUUCUCCACUUAAAUAUUCAACCGAACUAAUUUCAUAUUAAUUUUAGAUAUUUAGUCAUACAUUACUAAAAUUAUAUGUAUUAAUUUUAGUUUUGAAAUUUUGAAGAUCUUAAAAUACGGUUUGAUUUUCAAACAAAUUUUACAUAAUUUAAAAAGAUAGCUAACUCCAAAAAUGUUUGAACAAAUCCGAACCAAAACUAAUAGAUAUACAAAUAAAAUUAAAAAUUUUAAACCUAAAAAGUCGAACUCUUAAUAGAGUUUGAUUGGAUAUCCAAAUGUCCACCCCCACAUUAUACUUAAAAAUAUUAGCACAAUAAUUCACAUUGUUUAACUACUCUUAGAAUUAUUAAUCAACAACAUCACAUUCU